rnacentral:lncRNA from 1 species
GUGGUGGAUUUGAUCGAUGGACAAGCUGACUGCUCCUCAUCAGUCUUGUUUGCAUAAUGUUCAAACUCUGGUUGCAGUUCUGGUCUUUGCAUAAUAUGCAGAUCUGGAGCUCCGGAUGAAAUGGAUCGGAGUUUCCUGAGCUGUCUGUGAAUUUUUAAAGUUGCAUGACUUUGCAGUAGUCAAGUGUUAUAAAUUUGAUGAAAUGGAUUGGAGAUUCCUGAAAUUUUAUUAUAAUUUGUCAAUUUAAUCAAACUUCAGUCAAAUAUCAAACAAAUUUGUCUCAAAUAUUAAACAUGAACCAAAUAUUACAAUUAAAUUAUUUGUUAAA